ACUCAAAUGAAUAGACGGGGGCCCGCACAAGCAGCGGAGCAUGUGGUUUAAUUCGACGCAACGCGAAGAACCUUACCUGGGCUUGACAUGUUCCUGACCGCCGUGGAAACACGGUUUCCCUUCGGGGCAGGAUCACAGGUGGUGCAUGGCUGUCGUCAGCUCGUGUCGUGAGAUGUUGGGUUAAGUCCCGCAACGAGCGCAACCCCCGUCGUAUGUUGCCAGCAUUUAGUUGGGGACUCAUGCGAGACCGCCGGUGACAAACCGGAGGAAGGUGGGGAUGACGUCAAGUCAUCAUGCCCCUUAUGCCCAGGGCUACACACGUGCUACAUUGGCGCGUACAGAGGGCUGCGAUACCGUGAGGUGGAGCGAAUCCCUCAAAGCGCGUCUCGGUUCGGAUUGGAGGCUGAAACUCGCCUCCAUGAAGGCGGAGUUGCUAGUAAUCGCGGAUCAGCAUCGCCGCGGUGAAUACGUUCCCGGGCCUUGCACACACCGCCCGU
rnacentral:rRNA from 1 species